GAUUAAGUUCUUAAUGGCGCACGGUGGAUGCCUUGGCACUAGAAGCCGAAGAAGGACGUUACUAACGACGAUAUGCUUUGGGGAGCUGUAAGUAAGCUUUGAGCCAGAGAUUUCCGAAUGGGGAAUCCCAGCAUGAGUUAUGUCAUGUUAUCGAUCUGUGAAUACAUAG
rnacentral:rRNA from 1 species